rnacentral:rRNA from 1 species
GACGUAGGGUGCGAGCGCUGUCCGGAUUUAUUGGGCGUAAAGAGCUCGUAGGUGGCUCGUCGCGUCAGCUGUGAAAACCCGCGGCUUAACCGUGGGCUUGCAGCUGAUACGGGCGGGCUAGAGUUCGGUAGGGGAGACUGGAAUUCCUGGUGUAGCGGUGAAAUGCGCAGAUAUCAGGAGGAACACCGGUGGCGAAGGCGGGUCUCUGGGCCGAUACUGACGCUGAGGAGCGAAAGCGUGGGGAGCGAACAGG